UACGUAGGGUGCAAGCGUUAAUCGGAAUUACUGGGCGUAAAGCGUGCGCAGGCGGCUUUGCAAGACAGAUGUGAAAUCCCCGGGCUCAACCUGGGAACUGCAUUUGUGACUGCAAGGCUGGAGUACGGUAGAGGGGGGAUGGAAUCGUCGUGUAGCAGUGAAUGACGUAGAUAUGCGGAGGAACACCGAUGGCGAAGGCAAUCCCCUGGACCUGUACUGACGCUCAUGCACGAAAGCGUGGGGAGCAAACAGG
rnacentral:rRNA from 1 species